rnacentral:rRNA from 1 species
UACAGAGGUCCCAAGCGUUGUUCGGAUUCACUGGGCGUAAAGGGUGCGUAGGUGGCCGGGUAAGUCUGACGUGAAAUCUCCGAGCCUAACUCGGAAACUGCAUCGGAUACUAUCCGGCUUGAGGAUUGGAGGGGGGACUGGAAUACUUGGUGUAGCAGUGAAAUGCGUAGAUAUCAAGUGGAACACCAGUGGCGAAAGCGGCUCUCUGGAACGGUACUGACGCUGAGACGCGAAAGCGUGGGGAGCGAACAGG